UACAGAGGUCUCAAGCGUUGUUCGGAUUCAUUGGGCGUAAAGGGUGCGUAGGCGGCGCGGUAAGUCGGGUGUGAAAUCUUGGAGCUUAACUCCGAAACUGCAUUCGAUACUGCCGCGCUUGAGGACUGGAGAGGAGACUGGAAUUUACGGUGUAGCGGUGAAAUGCGUAGAUAUCGUAAGGAAGACCAGUGGCGAAGGCGGGUCUCUGGACAGUUCCUGACGCUGAGGCACGAAGGCCAGGGGAGCAAACGGG
rnacentral:rRNA from 1 species